CACCCGAAAAUUCCAGUGGCCAAGUUCCUAAAUUUCUUAUAUCCUAUCAAACCCUUAGAACACGCUUCUCA